GACGUAGGGCGCGAGCGUUGUCCGGAUUUAUUGGGCGUAAAGAGCUCGUAGGCGGCUUGUUGCGUCGACCGUGAAAACCCGGGGCUCAACUUCGGGCUUGCGGUCGAUACGGGCGGUCUGGAGGCGGGUAGGGGCACGCGGAACUGUGGGUGGAGCGGUGAAAUGCGUUGAGAUCCACAGGAACUCCGGUGGCGAAGGCGGCGUGCUGGACCCGAUCUGACGCUGAGGCGCGAAAGCCAGGGGAGCGAACAGG
rnacentral:rRNA from 1 species